UACGAAGGGGGCUAGCGUUGUUCGGAAUUACUGGGCGUAAAGCGCACGUAGGCGGGUCGUUAAGUCAGGGGUGAAAUCCCAGAGCUCAACUCUGGAACUGCCUUUGAUACUGGCGACCUAGAGUUCGGAAGAGGUUAGUGGAAUUCCCAGUGUAGAGGUGAAAUUCGUAGAUAUUGGGAAGAACACCAGUGGCGAAGGCGGCUAACUGGUCCGAUACUGACGCUGAGGUGCGAAAGCGUGGGAGCAAACAGG
rnacentral:rRNA from 1 species